rnacentral:rRNA from 1 species
AUUGAACGCUGGCGGCAGGCCUAACACAUGCAAGUCGAGCGGAUGAAGGGAGCUUGCUCCUGGAUUCAGCGGCGGGCGGGUGAGUAAUGCUUAGGAAUCUGCCUGGUAGUGGGGGAUAACGUCCGGAAACGGGCGCUAAUACCGCAUACGUCCUGAGGGAGAAAGUGGGGGAUCUUCGGACCUCACGCUAUCAGAUGAGCCUAGGUCGGAUUAGCUAGUUGGUGGGGUAAAGGCCUACCAAGGCGACGAUCCGUAACUGGUCUGAGAGGAUGAUCAGUCACACUGGAACUGAGACACGGUCCAGACUCCUACGGGAGGCAGCAGUGGGGAAUAUUGGACAAUGGGCGAAAGCCUGAUCCAGCCAUGCCGCGUGUGUGAAGAAGGUCUUCGGAUUGUAAAGCACUUUAAGUUGGGAGGAAGGGCAGUAAGUUAAUACCUUGCUGUUUUGACGUUACCAACAGAAUAAGCACCGGCUAACUUUGUG